GUGCCAGCAGCCGCGGUAAUACGUAGGGUGCGAGCGUUGUCCGGAAUUAUUGGGCGUAAAGAGCUCGUAGGCGGUUUGUCGCGUCGGCCGUGAAAACUUGGGGCUUAACCCCAAGCCUGCGGUCGAUACGGGCAGACUUGAGUUCGGCAGGGGAGACUGGAAUUCCUGGUGUAGCGGUGAAAUGCGCAGAUAUCAGGAGGAACACCGGUGGCGAAGGCGGGUCUCUGGGCCGAUACUGACGCUGAGGAGCGAAAGCGUGGGGAGCGAACAGGAUUAGAUACCCUGGUAGUCC
rnacentral:rRNA from 1 species